GCCCGGCUGGCUCAGUGGGUGGAGCGUGCGGCUCUUGGUCUGAGGUCGUGAGUUCUAGCUCCUUGUUGGGUGUAGAGAUUGCUUAAAAAAUAAAAUAAAAUCUUUGGGGCUCCCGGGUGGCUCUGUCAGUUAAGCGUCUGACUCUUGAUCUCAGCUCAGGUCUUGACCUCAGGGUCAUGAGUUCAAGCCCCAUGUUGGGCU
rnacentral:tRNA from 1 species